rnacentral:rRNA from 1 species
UGGGGAAUUUUGGACAAUGGGCGAAAGCCUGAUCCAGCCAUGCCGCGUGAGUGAAGAAGGCCUUCGGGUUGUAAAGCUCUUUCGCGAGGGAAGAAAACGUAUUCGCUAAUACCGGAUGCGGAUGACGGUACCUUGAUAAGAAGCACCGGCUAACUACGUGCCAGCAGCCGCGGUAAUACGUAGGGUGCGAGCGUUAAUCGGAAUUACUGGGCGUAAAGCGUGCGCAGGCGGUUUUGUAAGACAGGCGUGAAAUCCCCGGGCUCAACCUGGGAAUGGCGCUUGUGACUGCAAGGCUUGAGUAUGGCAGAGGGGGGUAGAAUUCCACGUGUAGCAGUGAAAUGCGUAGAGAUGUGGAGGAAUACCGAUGGCGAAGGCAGCCCCCUGGGUCAAUACUGACGCUCAUGCACGAAAGCGUGGGGAGCAAACAGG